UCUCUCAUGCACUCCGGUCAUCUCUCCAUCUCCGCAUACAGUUAGCUCUUGAUGCACUUUACUCCAAGAGCCCAACGAAAUCAGCUAGCCGAACGAGAUAAUUGCAAAUCGCCAUUAUUUAUAGAAGUGUCGGUAAACUGUGCUACGGUUCUCCUAGUUCUCUUCUCUUCGAAAGUGUUCUUCAACCUCGUUAAUUCCGUUCCGAUGAGCAAUCCACCCCAUAUAGAAAACACACAGAGAAUAUCUAGACUAGAAAAUUGUCUAUGAAAUAUGUCGAUACGAACGAAACCACGAUGACUAUUAUUUUACUGGUUUGCCGCAUAGAUAAACAUAAUUGACUACAUAAACAGAAAAUGGUCAUACCAAAAGAUGACGACGAGAGCAACCAAGACUAUCUUUUCUACUCUCGUCAACGUAGGAUUUAAGACAUUGCCGGCUUGGGUUACACAUCACGGAUAAAAGGAGGAGAUACGUUUCUCAUGUUUUGCCGAGAAAUUCUCGUAAAUUCUUCAACAUGGACCAACCUUUCCUCGUCCUCCAUUCUCGCAUAUCCUUUACCAUAGAAUGUUAGGACCGACUAAGGUGUCGUAAAAAAGAGGGGAAAGAGAUUUAUGCUUGGAUUUGUUUAAUUGUUUUAGUCUCGUCGCCGUGAGAUCCACGAAUUCGCGUACUAAAUAACAAACUCCCCCGACGGGGGUAUUUCAAAUAAAAGAAAAAGAGAGAGAGAGAGAGAGAGAGAGAGAAAGAAAAAAAACAGAAGCGAGAGAAAGAUACGUAGCUAAAUGUUACGACGAUUGAAAAAUAGCACUCGAAACGAAUACCUAUGUAUUCGUAUUUUCAAAUCGAGAGAAAUCGUUGUCGAUUCGUCCGAUGUUCCAAUGCAUCUGCAUCGCAAUGUUUCAAUGGGGAAGAUCGAGAGACUCAGAGUACAUCGUGAUAAUUUAAUGGAAUCCAAAGGAGGAGUAUAGAUAUUUUAUUCUUUUUUUCUUUUUUUAUAGAGUGACUGUGAGGGAAAAAAAAUAAAACAAAGCAAAAAAGAGAGAAAGAAAUCGAAAGGAUAACAGUGAGUCAGUGGUCGUUGUAAAAAAGAAAAAAAAAAAAAGAAAAAGACAAAAAAAAACGUUUCAAAGAUUCACAGUUCUUGUCGGACAUCUCGGGUUAAAGGUUUUACGAACGAAUCGAUACAAACGGGUCACACUGCACCUCCUAACGAUGUAAUCAUUUAAUGGACUUUCUCGUCGUAAGCGAUGAACCAUCAAGAAAAUCCAAGACGAGGGAUGAAAGUACGCGGUAAAUUCAACUCUUUUUCAUCGGCGCACCGAACGAUCCGUUCUUUGAUAUAGAAAAGGAUGGAGAGGAAGAGGAAAGUAAAAAGUUACGUUAGGAAAUAACACGAAAGCCUUCGAGUUUAGCAAACAAAAUUAAAUUACUCUGAAUAUAUAACUUUUACGUAUCUAUUCGACCCCAUCUCCUGUCUAUAUCUACGAUAUUCUAAUCUAAUAACUUACUAUACAAUUCAUUGUACAAUAUAUCGUCUACAAAUAUAUCGUCGAUCAAAAUUAUGUUAUUAUAGAAUCUUUCCAAUUUAUUCUAUAUGAAAUAUAUUACAAAAUAUUAUUUAUAUCGUAUGACGAAUUAUCGGGCUUGAUUUUUAAUAAAUUUCUUUGUAAUUACACAAGAGAUUUUCGUGUCAACGAAAAAAGAAAAAUUGUUGGACGUAUCAGAAUACUUGUAACGUUUCGUAAAGGCACAAAAAGAUAUGAUGCUUUUAAAGUAAACACGAUGCAUAAAUCUGUCCAGUCGUUGUUCUUCAUCGAAGCGUAUAAAAAAUAUGUCAAGCUUUUAUA